GACGUAGGGCGCGAGCGUUGUCCGGAUUGAUUGGGCGUAAAGAGCUCGUAGGCGGCUCGUUGCGUCGGCUGUGAAAACCCGCAGCUCAACUGUGGGCCUGCAGCUGAUACGGGCGGGCUGGAGUUCGGUAGGGGAGACUGGAAUUCCUGGUGUAGCGGUGAAAUGCGCAGAUAUCAGGAGGAACACCGGUGGCGAAGGCGGCUCACUGGUCCGGUACUGACGCUGAGGUGCGAAAGCGUGGGGAGCAAACAGG
rnacentral:rRNA from 1 species